rnacentral:rRNA from 1 species
AAACCAACAGGGAUUGCCCUAGUAACGGCGAGUGAAGCGGCAACAGCUCAAAUUUGAAAGCUAGCCUUCGGGUUCGCAUUGUAAUUUGUAGAGGAUGAUUUGGGGAAGCCGCCUGUCUAAGUUCCUUGGAACAGGACGUCAUAGAGGGUGAGAAUCCCGUAUGUGACAGGAAAUGGCACCCUAUGUAAAUCUCCUUCGACGAGUCGAGUUGUUUGGGAAUGCAGCUCUAAAUGGGAGGUAAAUUUCUUCUAAAGCUAAAUAUUGGCGAGAGACCGAUAGCGCACAAGUAGAGUGAUCGAAAGAUGAAAAGCACUUUGGAAAGAGAGUUAAAAAGCACGUGAAAUUGUUGAAAGGGAAGCGCUUGCAAUCAGACUUGUUUAAACUGUUCGGCCGGUCUUCUGACCGGUUUACUCAGUUUGGACAGGCCAGCAUCAGUUUCGGCGGCCGGAUAAAGGCUCUGGGAAUGUGGCCUCCACUUCGGUGGAGGUGUUAUAGCCCAGGGUGUAAUACGGCCAGCCGGGACUGAGGUCCGCGCUCGGCUA